GAUGAACGCUGGCGGCGCGCCUAACACAUGCAAGUCGAACGAUUAAAGCACCUUCGGGUGUGUAUAAAGUGGCGAACGGCUGAGUAACACGUGGGCAACCUGCCCCUCUCAUUGGGAUAGCCACGGGAAACCGUGGAUAAUACCGAAUACUUCGGGACUUCCGCAUGGAAGACUCGAGAAAGCUCCGGCGGAGAGGGAUGGGCCCGCGGCCUGUUAGCUUGUUGGUGGGUAAUGGCCUACCAAGGCAAUGAUGGGUAGCUGGGUUGAGAGACCGACCAGCCAGAUUGGGACUGAGACACGGCCCAGACUCCUACGGGAGGCAGCAGUGGGGAAUCUUGCACAAUGGGCGAAAGCCUGAUGCAGCGACGCCGCGUGCGGGAUGAAGGCCUUCGGGUUGUAAACCGCUUUCAGCAGGGACGAGGCGAAAGUGACGGUACCUGCAGAAGAAGCCCCGGCUAACUACGUG
rnacentral:rRNA from 1 species